CCGACCAAAUAGGCUCAUUCAUCUCUGUCGCAACCGUCACCCAUUUUAAGAUCGUAAGGCGCAAUCUAUAGUAUUAUAAAUCUAUGGUUUUAAUAGUUUUAGAUAUUAUACCUAACGUAAUCAGAUGCUCUUAUGUUAAACUUAAGGGAAAAACUACUAAUUUUGAUACAUAAAUCUUUAGUUGAAUCUCUUUUUCACCAUGGUUUACAUGUUAGGAGGAAUUUACAAUAAUGUACUACAUGCAGUAUCAGUAUCCCCAAUUCAAAAUUAUUAUAUACCUACUCAAAAUCAUUUAAAAAAGUAAAUUGUAUUCAACCCAUUAUUAAUAUACCUAGGAUAUUUGAAUGAUUUAGGCCCGAUUGUACAUUGGCGGCUUAAGCUAUGGCUUAGUUGAACCGGGUUCAAUUUUGAGCGUCGGUUUAACUUCAUUCGGGUUGUUCAAUGCCGAGUUCAGUUAAGCCGAGGUUCAUACAAAUUUUGGUAAGGUUGGCAACGUAAGGCAUGCGUAUUCAAAGCAAUUCCCGUCAAUUCUCGACAUAAAUUUUCCCGCCAUUUAUGUAUUAUUAUUUGGUUUUUGUCAAUAUAAUUCUUUUAUUACUGUUAUUAGUUUAAUCGGUAUUUUCUAUCGUUUAGUUUAUCAGUUUAAUCAAUUUCCUACGUUAAAUUUGUGAACAGACCAUUUGAAUAGCUUGUGAUGAAGGAUUGCGUAAGGGUGUUAUCAGGUUUUCUUGACUCCGUAACCACUAUCACCAAAGAAGAUACUAAUUCAAUCUUCACAUUCUCUUCUCAUAAAUAUUUAACUGUUUACAGCUAUGAUUUCAAAUUCACUCAAAAAUGUUAAUAUUUGCCUUAUUCUAGGGAAGUAGGUAGGUAAUUUAAAUAAUUUUAGAAGGUAAAUUAGUUUGUAAUUAUUAUUAAAUAAAGUGAUAAUAUGUACCUACAUAAGCAUGGUACAAAUAUAAUUAAUUUAAGAUUUAUUAAUAAAUUAUGUACAUCUAAUUUAAUAAAUUAACAAAAUCGUUUUCUACAUUUGCUUCAAAAUCAUUCACAAGUUGCAAAAAGGAGCCUGUUGCUUAAAACCAGUGAUAUGGGCCCACUUCACUGCACAAAACCUUAAUUUAAGGCAAUAAAAACAAUGUUCUUAGAAGAUACAGCUUGGUUCUUGAAAUGUCAAUAACAAAUUUGCCACUUGUUUUCGUUCUCGUUCUUACCUAUCUGUUCGAUUUUUUAUUCUAUGAGCAAUACUAGUUUCAUACAAAUAGUGAACAGUGAACAGAUAUCCAAAAUCUUUGCAACAAUGCAUAAUGCAUUAUCCUUCCAUUUUCAAAAUGAUUUUCUCUAGACCUACACUGUUUCUGUGUUCUCCUUCCUUCUAGAAUAUUUACCAUUUCCAGAAAAUCUUCAUUAUUAGUUAAAUUUUCAAUGAGGUUCAUUUUUAAGGUGUAAAUAUUAUGAUUUCCGUUGACAAAUGACAAAAAUGUGAGGUUAAAAAUGCUUGAACCAGCGUUAAACCGCCGAACAUCGACCGCUCAGCUGAACCCGGGCUUAAACCGAGCUCAAGCUUAAACUUUGUAUGUACAACGCACUUCUUGCCCUGAACUCGGUAAUGGCGCUGAGCCGGAGUUGAACCUCGAUUGUACAACCGGGCCUUAGUCCCAUAUAUACACAAGAAAGAAUCUCCUUCUGCUUUAAUUAAGUAGUAAUGCUAUUCUACUGCAUAUAUUUAAUUGCAAUUAUAUUCUAUGAUUUUUGUAACUCUACAGGUAUCUACCACAUUUUUUAACGAAUAUAUGAAAUAAAUAGUUAUUAAAAA